UGAGGAAUAUUGGGCAAUGCCCGCAAGGGUGACCCAGCAACGCCGCGUGGAGGAUGAAUGUCGUAAGAUUGUAAACUCCUGUUAGAGGGGAAGAAUAGUACCGGUUGGACCGGUAUAUGACUGUACCCUCAGAGAAAGCCCCGGCUAACUACGUGCCAGCAGCCGCGGUAAUACGUAGGGGGCAAGCGUUGUCCGGAUUUACUGGGUGUCAAGGGCGCGCAGGCGGGAUAAAAAGUCAGUGGUGAAAUCCUACAGCUUAACUGUAGAACUGCCUUUGAUACUUUUAUGCUUGAGUUCGGGAGAGAGAGACGGAAUUCUAGGUGUAGUGGUGAAAUACGUAGAUAUCUGGAAGAACACCAGUUGCGAAGGCGGUCUCUGGGUCCGACACUGACGCUGAGGCGCGAAAGCGUGGGGAGCAAAC
rnacentral:rRNA from 1 species